rnacentral:rRNA from 1 species
CCUACGGGCGGCAGCAGUGAGGAAUAUUGGUCAAUGGGCGAGAGCCUGAACCAGCCCAGUCGCGUGAAGGAUGACGGCCCUACGGGUUGUACACUUCUUUUGUCAGUGAGCCAUUGAGUCCACGUUUGCGCUUAGCGAGAGUACCUGAAGAAAAAGCAUCGGCUAACUCCGUGCCAGCAGCCGCGGUAAUACGGAGGAUGCGAGCGUUAUCCGGAUUUAGUGGGUUUAAAGGGUGCGUAGGCGGAAUAUCAAGUCAGAGGUAAAAAUUCGGGGCUCAACCCCGUCGUGCCGUUGAAACUGAUGUUCUUGAGUGGGCGGGAAGUAUGCGGAAUGCGUGGGGUAGCGGUGAAAUGCAUAGAUAUCACGCAGAACUCCGAUUGAGAAGGCAGCAUACCGGCGCCCAACUGACGCUGAAGCACGAAAGCGUGGGUAUCGAACAGGAUUAGAUACCCGAGUAGUC